rnacentral:ncRNA from 1 species
AAGAUAGAGGCGCGUCUCGCCAAGAGUACCCGGAACCAAUGCCGUGCAGGGCAGGCCCGGGAAAAGGGGCAGACGCCGAAGGCGGUCCCCGCUGCAAAGGGAACUGGCCUGGGCGGACAAACUAAGAGUUGUCCGACUGUCGCAAAUGGUACGAUUUGCGGAGGGCUAUCAC